rnacentral:rRNA from 1 species
GUUCCAGCAGCCGCGGUAAUACGUAGGUGGCAAGCGUUGUCCGGAUUUACUGGGCGUAAAGAGCGCGCAGGCGGUCGUACAAGUCGCGUGUGAAAGCCCCCGGCUCAACUGGGGAGGGUCACGCGAUACUGUUCGACUCGAAGGCAGGAGAGGGAAGCAGAAUUCCCGGUGUAGUGGUGAAAUGCGUAGAUAUCGGGAGGAAUACCAGUGGCGAAGGCGGCUUCCUGGCCUGUUCUUGACGCUGAGGCGCGAAAGCUAGGGUAGCAAACGGGAUUAGAUACCCUGGUAGUCC